AAUAAGGAGAGUAGAGAAAAGGGAAAGCAUACGCAAAAGCAAUCAAGGAUUGCUCUCCUAUCCACACUGAUCGUCGUCUACUCGUCUUCCUCCACCCACCAUCACUCCCUUACCUUCCCCAGUCGACCCUCUUCCUGUGCCCUAUUCCUUGGCCGCAAGAAAGUCCCUCGUCCCGACCGGUCUCCUCGAGGUCGAGGUUUCGCCGGCGUGCGGGGGAUCGAUGCUGGUAGGUUUAGGUAGCUCUUUGAUUCUUGAAAUGUAUGAAAAAUUGUGUGGCUUAUAGAAGCAUUUGCAGAAGGUAGCGAUUUUGGUUUAUUGACAAAUGGCGGAAGGAUCAAAAAUAGCUGGUUUUCUUGUUGGCGUGGCUGGAGGAAAUGUCGUCGGAAACGGGCUUUAUGAUGUGGGAUUUUACCAAAAGCUAGAUGAGGGCUCUAAUAUGUCGAUAGAUAGCGUUGGAAGUCUUCAGACGAGCAUUGAUGGUGGCUCGGCUGCCAUGUCCGUGGAAAAUAGCAGUGUCGGAUCGAACAACUCGAGGACUGGAAUACUGCACCAUACUGGACUCCGUCUAUUCCCGGGCUCCAAUUUCUCUCUGGGGCAUAGCGUGCUGAGACCUGGAAGGGUCUCUCAUGCUAUGAACGAAGAUGCUUUAGCUCAGACCCUGAUGGACCCACGAUAUCCUACAGAGUCUCUUGAGAACUAUGAUGAAUGGACUCUGGACCUAAGGAAACUGAAUAUGGGGGUGGCCUUUGCUCAGGGUGCUUUUGGGAAGCUCUACAGGGGUAUUUAUGAUGGGGAAGAUGUUGCUAUUAAGCUGUUGGAGAAGCCUGAGAAUGAUCCUGAAAGGGCAUUGGUGAUGGAGCAGCAGUUCAGACAGGAGGUUAUGAUGCUUGCAAAUCUUAAGCAUCCAAAUAUUGUCAGGUUUAUUGGGGCUUGCAGGAAGCCGAUGGUCUGGUGCAUUGUGACAGAGUAUGCAAAGGGUGGUUCAGUGAGGCAAUUUCUCAUGAAGAGGCAGAACAGAUCAGUGCCGCUAAAACUGGCCAUUAAGCAAGCAAUAGACAUUGCUAAAGGGAUGGAAUAUGUUCAUGGCUUGGGACUCAUACACAGGGAUCUUAAGUCCGACAAUCUACUUAUAUUUUCAGACAAAUCAAUUAAGAUUGCUGACUUUGGGGUUGCUCGUAUUGAGGUUAAGACUGAAGGAAUGACACCUGAAACUGGAACUUAUCGAUGGAUGGCUCCAUUGAUAAUUGGGAAUUUAUUACCAAUUGAUCCUAAGAUCGAUAGGGCAUUCAGAAGGAAAAGAAACUUACAGAGACACGUAGAAGAAGAGCAAGCACUAGCAUUAAGGGACAUGGCAAACAAACCCUUAAAAACCAAUGUCGCACCUUAUGUAAGAGGUCUCAGGUCUAGCAUCGCUAGACCAUUUGUUGAGGCUAAUAAUUUUGAAAUCAAGCUGGCAUUCAUUUCUAUGGUUCAGCAACACCAAUUUAGGGUGGUCCCACAAAAGACUCAAACCAAUACUUGAAGACGUUUUAUGAAAUCUGUAGCAUCAUGAAGAUAAAUGGUGUCCCAUCUAAAGCUAUCAAACUACUCUUAUUUGAUUCCCGCAAAUGGCAUUUCCUCUAAGGAGCAGUGCGAACAAAUCUUCUUGGAGAAAUUCUUUUCUCCAAGCAAGGCAACCCACAUGAGGAAUCUAAUAGCAAGCUUCAGAUAGAACGAUAGUGAAUCCCUAUACAAUGCCUGUGACAGAUUCAAGGGAAUGCUCAGAUUAUGCCCGCAUCAUGGAUUAGAGAAAUGACUAGUUAUCCACAUAUUCUAUAAUGAAAUCAACUAUCAAACCAAAGUCUUCUUAGACUCCACGGCUGGUGGAGCAUUGAUAAACAAGUGACUGGAUGAAGCUGAAGAAAUCAUUGAAAAUGUGACAAUGAAUCAUCACUAGUGGGCAUCCGAAUGGAGUGACAUCUCCAUUAAAACCCCUGGGAAGUAUGAUGUUGAUGCUUUAAGCUUAAUUUAUGCAAAGAUGGACGCUUUCAAAGAAGUUCGAGUCAAUAACCACGAGUCAGGUAAAUGCUGUUGUCUCAACUUGUGAAGUUUGUGAAGGAGUGGAACAUGCAAAAGAAGCUUGCCCUCUUGGAGCCAUUACAACACAAUUGGCUCAGCUUGAACAAGUGGAUGCUAUAGGCAACUACAACACAAGACAGAAUAAUCCGUACUUCAACACAUACAAUCCCAAAUGGAAGAAUCAUUUGAACUUCUCAUAUCGAAAUAACCAAGACCAAGGGCAGUCAUCCGAAUAUCAGCAGAAUCAUCGACCCUCAAGAAUGGAUAAACUUCUUGAAGAAAUUCUAGCCAGCCAAGUUGAGAUGAAGAAUGACCUGAAGCAAUUUAAUGCAAGGAUGAACAAUGCUAAGAAGCAUAUGAAGAUGUUUGAUAGUUAAGUGACACAAAUAGUUAGCUCUUUUCUAAGGAAAGUUGGAGCCCAAUCGUGUAGAGCAUUGCAAUCUUGUUGAGUUAAGAAACAGACGGACCUUGGGAAACCCCAAGAGACUGCUCAGAAAGGAACUAGAGAGCCACCCUCCUCUAGCAUUGAUUCUGCUCAAGAAGAGGUGGAGAUUGAAGAGCCUCCACCAUAAAGAAAUGUUUUACCAAUCCCUUUCCCUCAACGAAUUGCAAAAGCCAAGAAGGAUGAAGAAUUCGAGAAAUUUCUUGAGAAGCUCAAGGAACUCUGCAUUGAAAUUCCUCUCAUCAAUGCACUGUAACAAAUGCCUAAGUUUUCCAAGUUCAUAAAGGGCAUCAUCUUCAACAAGUGCAAGAAGGACAAUUAUGAGACUAUCACAUUAAUCGAGGAGUGUAGCACGUUGCUUCUGAACAUGCUGCCUCUCUCUUAAGCUCAAAGAUCUAGGGAGCUUUUCCAUACCAUGCAAGAUUGGUCCCACUGAAUUUGAUAAGGCCUUCUGUGAUUUGGGUGUAAGUGUAAGUCGUAUACCUUAUUCAAUUUGUAAAAAGCUUAGUUUUAAUGAUUUGAAGCCGACCACCAUGGUACUGUAACUAGUAGACCAUUCUUGAAGAUACCAUAUGAGUAUCAUAGAGGACGUACUGGUGGAGAUAGGGAGCUUCAUAGUCCCUACGGAUUUUGUGGUCUUGAACAUAGAUGAAGAUCCAAAAAUCCCUAUUAUUCUUGGAAGACCUUUCCUUGCCAUAGCAGGAGCUGUGAUCGACGUGAAAAACCAUAGAUUAUCUUUGGUAGUUAGAGAGAAAAAGCUUGAAUUUGAUUUAUCCAAGUCAUCUAAUCCAUUGUCUGUUGUUAAGAGUUGUUGCUACAGGUUGGAUGAGAUCCAACAAAAAGAAGAACACCACCACCCCUAAGAAAGACCGCUAGAUAAAGCACUGAGUCCGGCGGAUAAGGAAAGACAACCCCGAACCCAUAACAAUAGAUAUAUCAUCUCGGCACAUGCCCUGAUGGAGGGGCCACAAAUAACUUACCACGUUGGAGGGGAGCAUCUCCCCUUCAAGGAAAAUGCUCCAAGUUGAGCCAAGGAUCGAACUCGUGACCUUAAACGAGCGCUUAUUGGGAGGCAACCCAAGGGUUCCCUUAAUUUGCCUUCUUUAUUAUGUUUAUUUUUGGAAUGUAAUUUGUGUUCAAUUUUCAUUUUUCAAGAUUGUCGACCUCCAUGAGCUGGCCAUGAACUCAUCCAUGAGUAUGGAGGCACUCAGGAGAAGCAAAAUGAAGAAAACCAGUGUCGGAUAGGAGCAGGGCAGUAGCCUGCAUGACUCAGCCGUGCCUAAGGGCAUGGCGAUGUGGGAGCAUCGACAGAAGCAAAUGAAAUCCACGGCUCGGUUGUGCCCCUCAACUCAGCGAGACACAUGCCGAGGUCGUGCCAUGCGGCACCACCAUGCCCCUAUGCACAGGAGGACACAUGGUAAGGUCGUGCGACACGACAUGACCGUGCCAUGCCGACAUUUGAAAAAAAAAUGGCCGUGUACUUAGAGAGAUGCACGACAUGGCCGUGUCUUUCGACAUGGCCGUGUCUUUCGACACGGCUGUGUGUCCAAGCAUGGUCGUGCCGAUUCAAAGACUCAGGGGUAUUUAGCCGCGAACACGGUCAUGCCACCUUAGGACAUAGCUAUGUGAGCUCCACCUCCCCCCGUCUCCUUCAUCUUCCUCUCUAAUUCUCCUCCCAAAGCCCUCCCUUCUUCCUGAUUGAGCAAGAUCCACCUUCUAAAACCAAUAUUUACUCCUUCCAAGGUUAAAUCUAAGUUUUCUUCCUUCCCUAUCCUAAGAUCCACAUAUCCCCUCUCUUCUUCCCACCUCAAUUCGCCACAAGAAGCAAUCUUCCUUCUUCUUUUUCCUUUUCAAAGAUCUCUCUUCCUCCAAGAGCAACUUUCCCCUCUAGAUUCGACAUAUCAUGUCUAAUAUCUUAAAGAGGCUCCAAAGGAGUGACGGAUCAAGCGGAGGAGGCGAGGACCUCGAUAAGGAUAAGGGAAAAGGAAAGGCCUUUGACAAAGGGAAGGCCAAGGCAUCCGACAAUGGAAAAAGACAAGCAUGCAAUGAAGAGAAAUGAUACAACAUAGGCCAUACAAUCAGAAAGUUGAUGUGUACAGCUUUGGCAUUGUUCUCUGGGAGCUCAUAACUGGAAUGCUCCCUUUCCAGAAUAUGACAGCUGUCCAGGC